CAGACACUGGCUUGGCCCAUCUUCGGGAGGAAUGGGGACUCGCCGUAUCCUCCUGCCCUUCUGGAGGGGACAAGAAAGGACAGAAGGAGUUUGCCACCCUCUCCAAUAUGUGUCUCUGAGAUGCCAGGUCUCCAGCCUGGGGGGCAUCAGGACUCCUGAACCCCCAAAGCUGGUUCUGCAUCCCUGACUUGCCCAGAAACUGUUCUAGC